rnacentral:rRNA from 1 species
GUGGUUCCCCAAAUGGGGGCAUGUGCACGCUCUGUUCACACAUCCACUCACACCNGUGCACCCUCUGUAGUUCUAUGGCCAGGGGGGCCUUGCCCUCCUGCUGUGGUUCUGCAUCUUUACACACACACACUGUAACAAAGUCUCAUGGAAUGUACACCGCGUUUAACGCAAUACAAUACAACUUUCAGCAACGGAUCUCUUGGCUCUCGCAUCGAUGAAGAACGCAGCGAAAUGCGAUAAGUAAUGUGAAUUGCAGAAUUCAGUGAAUCAUCGAAUCUUUGAACGCACCUUGCGCCCUUUGGCCAUUCCAAAGGGCAUGCCUGUUUGAGUAUCAUGANUACCUCAACUCCUCAUGGUUUGCCGUGAUGAGCUUGGACUUUGGGGGUCUUGCUGGCCUGCAGUCAGCUCCUCUCAAAUGAAUCAGCUUUCCAGUGUUUGGUGGCAUCAUGGGUGUGAUAAAUGUCUACGCUUGUGGUUUUCCACCAGGAAACCUUCAGCAAUGGAGGUUCGCUGGNGCUCACAAAUGUCUCUCCUCAGUGAGGACAGCUCUCUGAACAUUGAUCUCAAAUCAGGA